rnacentral:rRNA from 1 species
UACGGAGGAUCCAAGCGUUAUCCGGAUUCAUUGGGUUUAAAGGGUGCGUAGGCGGAAUGAUAAGUCAGUGGUGAAAUCCUGCAGCUUAACUGCAGAACUGCCAUUGAUACUGUCAAUCUUGAGUACAUUUGAUGUGGGCGGAAUGUGUCAUGUAGCGGUGAAAUGCUUAGAUAUGACACAGAACACCGAUUGCGAAGGCAGCUCACAAAACUGUAACUGACGCUGAGGCACGAAGCGUGGGUAUCAAACAGGA